rnacentral:rRNA from 1 species
CCUAGGGGAGGCUGCAGUGAGGAAUAUUGGUCAAUGGACGAGAGUCUGAACCAGCCAAGUAGCGUGAAGGAUGACUGCCCUAUGGGUUGUAAACUUCUUUUAUAUGGGAAUAAAGCGUUCCACGUGUGGGAUUUUGUAUGUACCAAAUGAAGAAGGAUCGGCUACCUCCGUGCGAGCACCCGCUGUAAUACGGGGGAUCCGAGGUUUAUCCGGAUUUAUGGGGUUUAAAGGGAGCGUAGGUGGAUUUUUAAGUCAGUUGUGAAAGUUGGGGGCUAAACCGUAAAAUGGCAGUGGAAACUGGGAGUCUGGGGUACAGUAGGGGUGGCGGAAUUCGUGGUGUAGCGGUGAAAUGCUUAGAUAUCACGAGGAACUCCGAUUGCGAAGGCAGUUCACUGGACUGCAACUGACACUGAGGCGCGAAAGUGUGGGUAUCAAACAGGAUUAGAUACCCCUGUAGUC